ACGGCAGCACGGGAGCAAUCCUGGUGGCGAGUGGCGAACGGGUGAGUAAUAUAUCGGAACGUGCCCAGUCGUGGGGGAUAACGCAGCGAAAGCUGUGCUAAUACCGCAUACGAUCUCUGGAUGAAAGCGGGGGACUCAGCAAUGGGCCUCGCGCGAUUGGAGCGGCCGAUAUCAGAUUAGCUAGUUGGUGGGGUAAAAGCCCACCAAGGCGACGAUCUGUAGCUGGUCUGAGAGGACGACCAGCCACACUGGAACUGAGACACGGUCCAGACUCCUACGGGAGGCAGCAGUGGGGAAUUUUGGACAAUGGGCGAAAGCCUGAUCCAGCAAUGCCGCGUGCAGGAUGAAGGCCUUAGGGUUGUAAACUGCUUUUGUACGGAACGAAAAGGUCUGCCUUAAUACGGUGGGCCCAUGACGGUACCGUAAGAAUAAGCACCGGCUAACUACGUG
rnacentral:rRNA from 1 species